rnacentral:lncRNA from 1 species
GAGUGCAUGCGGGAAUUGGAAAUAGAUGUCCUGCCCAUGGAGGCCAGAGAGCUGUGUCCACAAAAGGACAGGGUGUGACCAGCCAGAGUUGCCGGAGUUUUGGCAACUUGUGUCUUCCAUAAUAGAGCUGGGGCAUUGAUGGAAAUGGAGGGUGCUAGAACCUUGUGACUUUGGCCAGGCACCAAUCAUCUGCCUCCUUCUGUGCCUGCCUGGCUGCCCCUACCCUGGGGCUCCCUCCUAGCCCCCACCUCACCUACUGGCUCACUGAGACAGAGCCAAACAUGAAAGGGAAGGUGACGGCCUGGCCAUAGGGCCCAGGAAAAUGCAGGUAUCAUUAACAGCCUGGAGCACUGUGGCCUGUCCACUCUCAACCCUCUGCUGCCCACCCCUUCCUGGAAUAGACCCCAGGCCACAUACAGAGGGGGCAAGCCCAAGGUAUGAUACCAGCAGGGCCAAGUGGACUGUCCAGAUGGGUAACGGGGGCCUGCCUUCCUCUGGCCUCCACAUAGGGGCCGCAGGUGUUCACAUGGUUGGAAAUGGGAGGGCCAAUGCUGUUCAUAGGCCGCUGUCUGGUCCACAGGACUCAACUGGCCCUCCGAACGCUAUCCCACUUUCCAGCCAGGAUUGAAGGAGAUCCCAUCUUGGGUCUAAAGGAAUGGGGGUGAAGACUGCAUCUUGUCGUUCCAGUUCCACCCCAUUCUGGCAUGGGAAGCAUGUGUGGGCUUCUACUCUAUGGGAGAUUCAUAGCCUCAAUCCUUAAGGAAUUCUCAAUCUGAAAGGAAAACACAAACCCUGACCUCAGGGAGCUCCCAGUUUGACAGUGGAGACAGAGAGGCCCUGCAUCAAGUAGAAAAACAACCCCCACUGCUCUCAAGCACACAGCAAUGAAGAUAUGUAUCCUUGGUGCUACAGGCAAAUGCUGACGAUACGACAGUGAAUACAACAUGAAAAAACAAGCACACUUCUCACCCCUAUGGAGCUUUAUUCUGGUCAGGCAGAAGGAGAAGGAAAUGUAAACAUGCAAGGAGCAACUUUUUGGCACUCCCAUUUUGCAGAAGAGGAAACAGCCUGCCUAGGUCUGCUGAUUCCUGUCCUGGUGAGCUCACUGCCCCAUACUCCCACCCUUGUACACAAAUGGAGGUGCUCUUACAGAAGUUCUGAGCCUGAUUCUGCUGCUGCUUCUCCAGCUAACCUUAGGCUUAAACCAGAUGGCCCAUGACAAGCCCUUCCAAUUCCCGUGUCCCAGAGAUGCCAAAUUUGAGCCCCAGUCACCCACCAUGAACCUGCCACCUAUUCCAGGAACCUGGCCAGGAAGCCCAGGAUGGGCUUCUUACCUUGUCUUCCCAUUGGGGUGGGUCUCAGAGGAGGCCAAGCUGGGCAGAGCUCUCUCUCUCAUUGGCCCUCAGGUACCACCCCCAUUAGUGCUGACUUACAGCUUUGCACUGCUGCUGACAUCAGCACCCAUCUGUCUGUUGUGGUAAGAGAGGCCUCCUAGGGAAACAGGUUUGCUAAAUCUCAGCCAGGAAGGACCUCCCAGCUGGGCUGUUGGGGCAAGUUUGGUAAAUACCCUCAACAGGCACCUUUGGAAGCAGGAGCGGGUGAUCAGAAAGCAAUGCCUCCCCCAAGCAACCCUCUCACCUCCCUAGCCACCCCCAACCAUGAUCAAAUUCCUAUCCCUGGCUUUGGACUUUCCAGCUGGUUCCCUGAGCUACUCAGCCCAUCAUCCCAAUAACCAGCUUCCUACAACGUCCAUCUCCUAUACCACCAUCCCCCCAACCACUGCUGUCACCAUCCUCUGUCACCUCCAAUCAUCAAAACCCCAUCCGCCCCCACCUUCCUCCUCCUUCUUCAUUCUCAUCCCUACCAUGAGCAGCACUCAUCCAUUCCAACUCAAAAGGUCACUAUCUAAUCCACGAUCUAUCUUACUUCCUGCCUAAAUUCUUUAUGGAGCAAUAAACUUCCACUGGAAUGAUACCCAGACCACAAAUCUGGGACCCAGUGACAGUUCCAGGAGGCCAUGGUGCACCGUCUGUGGCUCAGUUGGUUUCCAAUGGGGUCUAUUCAUAUGGCAUCUGUAAACACUCACAUGAUGCAGAUGCUUCCCUUACUUAAUACCCAUCUGGCCCAGGGUGGGCUGAGGGUGGCCCAGCUGGAUGCAGCACUAUCCCUAAUCUCUCAGAGCAAGCAGCAAGCAGCAAGCAGCAUACCUGGCUUGUUUAAACACACACUUUGCCAGAUGCUGAAGAACAACUAAAAGUGAUCACAGUAGAUCUGCUACCCUGAUCAAUCUUGCCUGUCUAAAGCUCAGAUAAGUCUGUAUAGGACUCUGUUUCCAAAUCUGUCAUUUCUGAUGGUACAUAUGCUGGACUUUUCCUUGCAGGGCAAGCUAAAGUCAAUGGAGUUCACACCCCAAGCAAGAGAAGAGCUUGCCCUAGCCUUCAUCCAGCCUCAUGUGUCUGCGAUUUGGCUAGAAAUUGUUCAGGGGAAUCUUAAUUAGCAUUCACCUGUGGUGUUGUGUUAAAAAAACAAAAAAACAAAAAACACCUCACUUCAGGUUCCAAAGUCUGAGUUGGAGUAAAAAGAUUGUUGGAAUCCAGGAUCCACCAUACAACUGCUAAGCCUGUUUCUUCAUCUGUAAAAUGAGAAUGACAAUGUCUACCUCAUAGGAUAGGUUUGAGGGUAGAGUGUGUUAAAGAACUCUUAAGGACCUUUUGUCAGACCCAGCUUGACCACAAGAUUGAGCUGAAUCUGAAUAAACAUUCUAGAACACUGCCAGAAAAGCUACAUUUACUAUCUCGUCUGACCUAUGUAAUUUGCAGAGUUCUUUUUACAUGGGUUACUUCCAAAAUCAAAAUUAACGUUAUUACUGAUGCUCAGUUAAAACAGCGUAGUAACUUCUGAUUAUUUCUCU